GGGCGGUUAGCUCAGGUGGCUAGAGCGCAUCCUUGACAUGGAUGAGGUCGGAGGUUCAAGUCCUCUACCGCCCACCA
rnacentral:tRNA from 1 species